AGCUUCCGCUUUUCCGGCCGUGCCCACGCGGCGGCCUCCGUUUCGUUGUCGCGAGGACUCGACAGCGAGAGGCGAUUGCGGAAAUGGAAUGGGAGGUAGGCAAAAGCAAGAGCAAGACAUCCACCCAGUUGUUGCCUCUCCAUCAAGAAACCGAUGGUGGAUGGAUGGAGCUGCCCAAUGGCGAGUGCCCUACGUCAGUUGGCACAGCUGUGCGUGCUUCUGCUUCCCAACCAAUUCUAGUUAUCUGUAGUCGCGUGGCGAGGGGUUGUGCCGGCGACUAAUCCAGGAGCAAAACCGAAGGCCAAGAAGACACACAACAAACUUCCUGGCUGGCUCUGUUCAAGAGGCGCUCGGAGGUUGCUCCGGGUCAUCGCCACCAAGCUGCAGGCUAGGUGUUUGUGGAAUUGCCAGCCUCCUUCCUUUGCGACAGCAACUGCACCGGAGGAAAGGGAAGGAAAGGAAAGGCUAGGGAGAGGAGCUGAGGAAGGAAAGGAUGACCAUGCCGCGGGGGCUAUCGGCGUACAUGGUGGAUAUGGUGUGGGCACUGCUCGCCGGGUGGGUGUCGGCGUGCCUGCUGGUCGCCAACGAGAUCGCCCGCGGCAUGCGGGCCGGCGAGAUUGGCCCCUUCGUCGUGGGGUGAAAAUCUCAUUUCCAGGAAAUCAUCCCUUCUGACUCCUUCCGUCACGCAGAUAGUUUUUUGGCGAAUCCAUCCAUGGAUACACAUUGCAUUGUACUGUACAGAGUCCCUAAAUCUACAUUAUUGUCCAGCUGAAUGGCUUGGCCAUUAAUAGAAGUGACAGAGAUUCUAGAUGAUGUUUUGUUCUUCCUUUCUUUCCACAAUUCUUCUGUUCUGUAUAGUAAUGUAAAUAUUUUAUUUUCCUUUUACAUUAUAGUUCUUUAAAGAUAUGUGCAACUUCA